rnacentral:tRNA from 1 species
AGGGUUGUAGUUAAUAAUAACAUUUGAAUUGCACUCAAAAAGUACUGAUUCCAGUCUACCUUA